CCCCCCGCCUAAUCUACAUUCAAUAGCGGAGGAAAAGAAACCAACAGGGAUUGCCUCAGUAACGGCGAGUGAAGCGGCAACAGCUCAAAUUUGAAAUCUGGCUUCGGUCCGAGUUGUAAUUUGCAGAGGAAGUCUCGGGUGCGAUACCGGUCUAAGUUCCUUAGAACAGGACGUCAUAGAGGGUGAGAAUCCCGUAUGCGACUGGUGGUCAACCCCAUGUGAGGCCCCUUCGACGAGUCGAGUUGUUUGGGAAUGCAGCUCAAAAUGGGUGGUAAAUUUCAUCUAAAGCUAAAUACCGGCCAGAGACCGAUAGCGCACAAGUAGAGUGAUCGAAAGAUGAAAAGCACUUUGGAAAGAGAGUUAAACAGUACGUGAAAUUGUUGAAAGGGAAGCGCUUGCAACCAGACUUGCUCGCGGGUGAUCCACCGCCCUUCGGGGUGGUCUACUCGCCCGCGAUCAGGCCAACAUCGGUUUCGGUGGCUGGAUACAGACCCCGGGAAUGUGGCUCCCUUCGGGGUGUGUUAUAGCCCGGGGUGCAAUGCAGCCCACCGGGACCGAGGACCGCGCUCCGGCUAGGAUGUUGGCGUAAUGGUUGUCAGCGACCCGUCUUGAAACACGGACCAAGGAGUCUAACAUCUAUGCGAGUGUUUGGGUGUCAAACCCAUACGCGUAAUGAAAGUGAACGGAGGUGGGAACCCCUUGGGGUGCACCAUCGACCGAUCCUGAUGUCUUCGGAUGGAUUUGAGUAUGAGCAUAGCUGUUGGGACCCGAAAGAUGGUGAACUAUGCCUGAAUAGGGUGAAGCCAGAGGAAACUCUGGUGGAGGCUCGCAGCGGUUCUGACGUGCAAAUCGAUCGUCAAAUUUGGGUAUAGGGGCGAAAGACUAAUCGAACCAUCUAGUACCUGGACCUGCAGAAUCCCUCCA
rnacentral:rRNA from 1 species